GACGUAGGGCGCGAGCGUUGUCCGGAUUUAUUGGGCGUAAAGAGCUCGUAGGCGGCUUGUCGCGUCGACUGUGAAAUCCCGCGGCUCAACUGCGGGUCUGCAGUCGAUACGGGCAGGCUAGAGUUCGGUAGGGGAGACUGGAAUUCCUGGUGUAGCGGUGAAAUGCGCAGAUAUCAGGAGGAACACCGGUGGCGAAGGCGGGUCUCUGGGGCCGAUACUGACGCUGAGGAGCGAAAAGCGUGGGGGGAGCGAAACAGGG
rnacentral:rRNA from 1 species